rnacentral:snRNA from 1 species
GUGCUCAUUUCAGCAGCACGUACACUAAAAUUGGAACAAUACAGAGAAGAUUAGCAUGGCUCCUGCGCAAGAAUGAUACGCAAAUUCAUGAACCGUUCCAUAUUUUU